AUGAGAGUUGGAAAUACCCGAAGCCUGUGAGCUGACCUUUUGGGGGGCAGCAGUCGAAGGUAGAGCCAAUGAUUGGGGUGAAGUCGUAACAAGGUACC
rnacentral:rRNA from 1 species